AGAAAAUGUAAGAAUUUCUAUUUAUCUUUUGCAAAAAUGGAUAUGCUUUUGGGAUGGGGUGCCAGAAAUACAGUGGGAUACCUGACGCAUCUGUAAUUGAAUUCAUGAAGCUCUACUUGUCUGAUACUUUACAUCCUGUAUAUCUCUUUAAGAUUUGGUGUGGAUCAUAUCGACCACAGCAAGCUCUUAUUUCCAUUAAAAUGGAUAUACACAGUCCAGUGAUGUUCAGAGUACUGGGCUCCCUUCAGAACUUCCCAGAGUUUGCCAAAGCAUUCAACUGCAACAAAAGCAGCAACAUGGUCUCUGACAACAUUUGUCGUGUUUGGUGACCUAAAGACCAAACACAGUCGGUAUAAUACCUCUGUCCUCUAACUGUUGGAGCUCCAUGGAAGGCUGCAGUGAGAUGGAAACUUCCCUUUGUUCUUUGCUGGAUGGACCACAGCUGGUGAACAGGCAGUGCAGCAUGCACUUCAUCCAAGACGGAUUAUUGUCCCAAAAGGAAUAACCCUCAUGGGUUAUUGUCUGCUGUUAAAGUUUGUCUCACACUCUAACACUGCUGUUCAGUAAAUCAACUCUUUCAAUCUCCUGCUCA